GGGUUGUUCAGGGGACACUGCUCCAGCCAGGGCUCCGUCCUUCCCACCCCAACCUGGCUUUAGCGCUGUGGUCAGGAGAAGCCACAGCCCUAAAGCCAGGAGCGGGUCACAGUGAGCACCGGGAGGGACAGACAGCAGGAAACGUGCUGCACACAGGUCACACGCUGGCGUGCGGCAGCGCUGAAACCGGCACCCAAGACUGUCGAGAUUCAAAGCCCUGUCUUUUUCACAGCCCCAGGCAGCCUGACCCUGCCUUUUCUAUAUAGACCAAGGGGUGGCAAAUUAAAGCCUGCAGGACAAUCCGGCCCAAGGCCUGCUUUUAUUAAUGAAGUUAUAUUGGGACCCAGUCACGCCCAUUUGUUUAUGUAUUGCCCAUGGCUGUUUUCACAUUACAACAGCAGAGUUGAGGAGCUGCAAAAGAGAUCCUAUGGUCCACAAAAUCUAACAUAUGUACUCUCUGGCCCUUUAAGAAAAAGUUUGCCAACCCUGACAUCUACAGACCAUGACAUCUGUAAGCAAGAGGGAGGGGUCUUCCACAAGCUUAGUGCGUGGGCACCUACUAAUAAUACCUCUGCCCUAACAAGACGAAUGUCUGCCAUCACUGCUGUUUGCCAGGUGCAAAGCACUUCUGUCACCUCAUUCAAUCCUUAUAACAACCUAUGAGAUCAGUCCUCUCAAUAUCCCCAUCUUUACAGAUGAAGAAGCUGAGGCUCAAGCAGAUGCAUCACCUGCCCCAGGUGCUCCAGUGAAAGCCAAUCUGGGGUGGGGGGGGGCGUGGAGCACACCCUCGGCUCCCAGCACUGAGGGCAGGGCGGUCCCAGAAAGGAUACUGAAGAUGAUGCCACCAAAACAGGCCGAGAACGCCAUCCGCGGGUAGCCCUGGCGGGCCAGCGUGAGAUCUGAGAAGACAUCUGUGUGGAAACACGAGAAGGCCUUGAGGGGCAACUCUGAGGGUGUGACAUGCCACCACCAAUCUUUCACCCAUGUCCCGUCUGCUGCUAGCACACACAGUACCUCGGGGCAAAUGAGGAAAAGGGGCCCAAAAAGGCCAGCAGCGUGAGCCCGAGGACAGUGUUGCUCAGCCGGAAGACCACACCCAGGGACCGUAAGACGUUCACCACCUCCGUGGCAGCUGCGUUGAUCCACAGGGCGCUGGUCAGGAAGCCCAGGAAAGCAAAGAGCUGGGGGAGGGGGCAGGGACACAGCCUUAGUUCCUCAGCUAUAAAAUGGGACAAUAACAGUACCUACUCCGUGAGGUUGUCAUGAGCAUAAAAUGAGUUAGUAGAUGCAAAGCAGUUAGAGCCUGACAUAUAUUACGUGCUCAAUAAAAUGCUAGAUCAAUAUUACCAUUUUGUCAAAAAGGAGUUCACCAUAGCUUUCAUCAGAUUUCUAGUCUAUGGACCAAAUGCCAUCUCAUCACCAGAAAAAGAAACUCCAUACCCGUGAUCAGUCACUUCCCAGCCCACCCAACCUUCCUCCCAGCCCCUGGCAAUCACUCCCCUAUUUUCUGUCUCUCUGGAUUCGCUUAUUCUAGACAUGUCAUAGAAAUGGCCUCACACAAUAUGUGGUCCUUUGUGACUGGCCUCUUUCACUCAGCAUCAUGUUUUCAAGGUGCAUCCACCUUGGGACAUGUGUCAGUACUUCAAAGACUAGUAAGAAACACUGCCUAAGACCAUUUCUCUAAAUAAUCAAUUGGCUGAAAAUUCAACUUCCUUUGGGCUGGUACAUCCAUUCAGAGUUUCUGAAAAUAGAAACUAGAAUUUUUAAAAGCGAUAAUUAGGAAAAAAAAAGAAAAAAAUUAAGUAAACUUCUGAGGAAAAGGUCUCUGGACAAACUACCUAAAAUUUUUUUAACAUCCUGCAGAGGUGAGAGAAUGGGAAAAAAACACCCCCAAAGACCAAACAACUCCAUCACUGGAAUGUGAUUAUUAGGAACCCAGGUGCUUCCUAGUUAGGAUGGUGGAAAAGAGUCUGGUAGGUCUUUAAAAAGGUAAACAUACAGUUCACAUUUGACCCAGCAGUUCUACUUACUCCCAGGAAUACACCCAAGAGAAAUGAAAGAAUUAUUUCUACAGAAAAAAAUUUAAAGCAAUGGUCAUGGCAGCAUUAUUCAUAGUAUCUAAAAAGUGGGAAAAAACCCCAGGGUCCAUUAAUGGAUGAAUCGAUAAACAAAAUAUGCUAUAUCUGUAUAAUCGAAUAGUAUUCAACCAUGAAAAGGAAUGAAGUACUGAUACAUGUUACAACAUGGAUAAACCUUGAAAACAUUUUGCUAAGGGAAAGAGGGCAGUCAUAAAAGACCACAUAUUGUAUGAUUCCAUGUAUGUGAAAUAUAUAGAACAGGAAAAUCUAGAGAGGCAGACAGCAGACUCGUGGUGGCCAGGGGAUGGUGGGGAGGAUGGGGAGUGACUGCUACUGGGAACAGGGUUUCUUUUUGGGGUGAUGAAAAUGCUCUCAAAUUGUGGU